UACAGAGGGUGCGAGCGUUAAUCGGAAUUACUGGGCGUAAAGCGCACGUAGGCGGCUUUGUAAGUUAGAGGUGAAAGCCCGGGGCUCAACCCCGGAAUUGCCUUUAAGACUGCAUCGCUUGAAUCCGGGAGAGGUGAGUGGAAUUCCGAGUGUAGAGGUGAAAUUCGUAGAUAUUCGGAAGAACACCAGUGGCGAAGGCGGCUCACUGGACCGGCAUUGACGCUGAGGUGCAAAAGCGUGGGGAGCAAACAGG
rnacentral:rRNA from 1 species